rnacentral:sRNA from 1 species
CUGAAAUGAUGACUUUGAUGUAGCUGUCUUCGC